rnacentral:rRNA from 1 species
GACGAACGCUGGCGGCGUGCUUAACACAUGCAAGUCGAACGGAAAGGCCCUGCUUUUGUGGGGUGCUCGAGUGGCGAACGGGUGAGUAACACGUGAGUAACCUGCCCUUGACUUUGGGAUAACUUCAGGAAACUGGGGCUAAUACCGGAUAGGAGCUCCUGCUGCAUGGUGGGGGUUGGAAAGUUUCGGCGGUUGGGGAUGGACUCGCGGCUUAUCAGCUUGUUGGUGGGGUAGUGGCUUACCAAGGCUUCGACGGGUAGCCGGCCUGAGAGGGUGACCGGCCACAUUGGGACUGAGAUACGGCCCAGACUCCUACGGGAGGCAGAAGUGGGGAAUAUUGCACAAUGGGCGGAAGCCUGAUGCAGCAACGCCGCGUGCGGGAUGACGGCCUUCGGGGUGUAAACCGCUUUCGCCUGUGACGAAGCGUGAGUGACGGUAAUGGGUAAAGAAGCACCGGCUAACUACGUG